AUGAGGCUUCUUCGUACAGAAGACCAUGGUUGGUGCGUUAGCAUCUUCAGUAAUGAGCAUAACCAUCAUCUGUCUGGAAAUCGAGAGGAGACAAGGGAAUGGCAUUCACACAGUGAGAUCAACCCUGUACUUAUGAACUUCAUCAAGGAUUUGAGAGAGAACAAUAUCAGUCUCAGCAAGGUGCACAACAUACUAAAUGCAACACAUGGUGAUCAGGCUGGUGCACCGUUCCGUAAGCAAUCUUUAAGGUAUCUAUGCUCUCGGAUUGCUCAGGAUGCGAUAUCUGACGACAUGGAAAAAACUGUAAAAUUGCUAGAUGAAAUGAAGCGUGUGGAUCCAAGCCUGUCAGUUUUUUUAGAAAUCGAUCAUGAGGGUUCCCCUAAGUUCACCUUAUGGUGUACUGGGAAGAAUAAACAGGAUUAUAUGUACUUUGGUGACGUGGUCACUUUCGACACAACAUACAAAACCAAUCUUUAUAAUAUGCCGUCUGGUAUUUUUGUUGGCGUGAACAAUCACUACCAGUCAACCAUUUUUGGAGGUGUGCUCAUGCGCGAGGAAACAGUAGCUGGAUUCGAGUGGGCUUUCGGAAAUUUUGUUGAAGUUAUGAAUCGGAAACAUCCGGUCACCAUCCUAACAGAUCAGUGUAGAGCGAUGAAAGGUGCAAUAAGAAAUGUACUUCCAAAUACAAGACACCGUUGGUGUAAAUGGCAUGUGAUCAAGUGUGCUAAAGAACAUCUCGGAGGUGUCUACAGCAAGAAGAGUUUAUUCAAAGAAGAAUUCCACAGACUCAUAAAUGAGGUCCUUUGUGUUUCCGAGUUUGAGGACAAAUGGGCCGAACUCCUGGAUAAGCGGACACAACCAUACAUGGACCUGGUACAACCAUUAACACUUGUACCAGGUACAUACGUCCAGUUAGGUGUUUCUAGUACAACAUGA
rnacentral:rRNA from 1 species